GUGGAGCUUGCUCCAUGAUUCAGCGGCGGACGGGUGAGUAAUGCCUAGGAAUCUGCCUGGUAGUGGGGGACAACGUUUCGAAAGGAACGCUAAUACCGCAUACGUCCUACGGGAGAAAGUGGGGGAUCUUCGGACCUCACGCUAUCAGAUGAGCCUAGGUCGGAUUAGCUAGUUGGCGAGGUAAAGGCUCACCAAGGCGACGAUCCGUAACUGGUCUGAGAGGAUGAUCAGUCACACUUGGAACUGAGACACGGUCCAGACUCCUACGGGAGGCAGCAGUGGGGAAUAUUGGACAAUGGGCGAAAGCCUGAUCCAGCCAUGCCGCGUGUGUGAAGAAGGUCUUCGGAUUGUAAAGCACUUUAAGUUGGGAGGAAGGGCAGUAAGUUAAUACCUUGCUGUUUUGACGUUACCGACAGAAUAAGCACCGGCUAACUUCGUGCCAGCAGCCGCGGUAAUACCAAGGGUGCAAGCGUUAAUCGGAAUUACUGGGCGUAAAGCGCGCGUAGGUGGUUCGUUAAGUUGGAUGUGAAAGCCCCGGGCUCAACCUGGGAACUGCAUCCAAAACUGGCGAGCUAGAGUAUGGCAGAGGUGGUGGAAUUUCCUGUGUACGGUAAAUGCGUAGAUAUAGGAAGGAACACCAGUGGCGAAGCGACACCUGGGCUAAUACUGACACUGAGGUGCGAAAGCGUGGGGAGCAACAGGAUUAGAUACCCUGGUAGUCCACGCCGUAACGAUGUCGACUAGCCGUUGGGAUCCUUGAGAUCUUAGUGGCGCAAGUAACGCAUUAAGUCGACCGCCUGGGGAGUACGGCCGCAAGGUUAAAACUCAAAUGAAUUGACGGGGGCCCGCACAAGCGGUGGAGCAUGUGGUUUAAUUCGAAGCAACGCGAAGAACCUUACCAGGCCUUGACAUGCUGAGAACCUGCCAGAGAUGGCGGGGUGCCUUCGGGAACUCAGACACAGGUGCUGCAUGGCUGUCGUCAGCUCGUGUCGUGAGAUGCCUUCGGGAACUCAGACACAGGUGCUGCAUGGCUGUCGUCAGCUCGUGUCGUGAGAUGCACUCUAAGGAGACUGCCGGUGACAAACCGGAGGAAGGUGGGGAUGACGUCAAGUCAUCACACUCUAAGGAGACUGCCGGUGACAAACCGGAGGAAGGUGGGGAUGACGUCAAGUCAUCACGCGAGGUGGAGCUAAUCCCAUAAAACCGAUCGUAGUCCGGAUCGCAGUCUGCAACUCGACUGCGUGAAGUCGGAAUCGCUAGUAAUCGUGAAUCAGAAUGUCACGG
rnacentral:rRNA from 1 species